GGCCUGGUGGUCUAGUAGUAUGAUUCCUUGUUAGGGUAAACCACAUUGGGUUAGAUUUCGAGGAGGUCCCGGGUUCAAUUCCCGGCCAGGCCC